rnacentral:rRNA from 1 species
UACGAAGGGGGCUAGCGCUGCUCGGAAUCACUGGGCGUAAAGGGCGCGUAGGCGGAUCUUUAAGUCGGGGGUGAAAUCCUGGAGCUCAACUCCAGAACUGCCUUUGAUACUGAGGAUCUUGAGUAUGGGAGAGGUGAGUGGAACUGCGAGUGUAGAGGUGAAAUUCGUAGAUAUUCGCAAGAACACCAGUGGCGAAGGCGGCUCACUGGCCCAUUACUGACGCUGAGGCACGAAAGCGUGGGGAGCAAACAGG